AAUAACACCGCUCCAGCCGGGGGCCUACGCGCGGGAGAAAGUGGAGCUGAGAUUGUAGGAAAUUCAGAGUUAUAUUUUCCAGCCUCUCCAGCCAGAAGUCUCCACUACGUCGUGGGAAACAUAUAUCAAAUGGAGUUGAAAGGCAAAAGGAAGUGAUCAGCGCCACAAGAUGUUGAAACUAAUGGAGACCGCAGAGAUCAUGUGCUAAGGGGCCUUCCUCCUCUGGGGUGGGAGAAGGAAUGUUCUCUGGAGAAAUCUGUAUGAUAGAAUAGUGAAGGUAACUGGCCUGAACUACAGCUCUUGAGCCAUCUGGUUUCACCUUCAGGGAGGUGCAGAGAGUGCUGGAAUGGAGGGUUAAUUGACCAUGGUGGAAAAGAGAGAAACAUUUUGAGGUUUGUGGAUUACCCAGAUGUAACAGUGACUUGCACAUAUUCCUCAUGGUGUUGUAUACAAAUGGAUCAGCAAGAAUCAGAUACUACACAUCACAGAUAAAAUCCAUAGCAACCAGGAAGCAAGAUGGUCACAUGGGAAAAUAGGGGAUGGAAUUUUAUGGACAUUAUUCAGACCACCUGGCCUUCUUACUCCCAUGUUGACACAAAGAAAGAGGACAUGAUGCUGAAGGACAAUUGGGUGCCUCAAGGCACCUGUCUUGCAGGACUGUAGUCCUAAUGAUUCAGUUGGUGGAAGGGAACCACGGAAUCACAGAUUCUGUGUUUGCACAGCCAUGCAGUACUGGAAGACCUUUGCACAUCUAGGGAUGCUGAUGUGGGUGGUGUAUUGAUUCUGAUAAUGGUGAUUAAAUGAUGACCAUUCUCAUUCAUUAGCAGAAAUUUUACCUAACCUAAAAAUGUUUAAAAAAACCUAACCAUUGUCUUAUCUUUCAUAGCAUACUGUGAGAUUGACUAUAAAGAUGAACAUUAGGGAAAUGAAGAUGGAUUAAUGUUCUUGGCAGUCUCCAACAACCCCUGCCUUUCAUAGGUAGUCUUACUUCUUGUCGAUUUAUCAGUUACUUUCUGGCUCUUAAGUCUUAUGCUCCUCUGUGAGACCUGUUAAGAGGGAUGGUAUAUACUUGUAGGUAGAAGACUAGGGAAUGGAAGUUGGAGACUUCCAUUCCAUUAACAUAGAAAGUAAUCUAGGGAUAUAAUAAUGGACUGUUUAGGGGUAUAGUACAAUGGCCCAUCCCUGAAUAAGGAAUAUGCUAUAGGUUUGCUAAUUUUACUUGUUCAGGGUAUUUCCAAAUUAUCGAAUUUUUGUUUGUUCUUUUUCUAUAAGUGAAAGUAUACAUCAAAAUGUUUCUGAUGUUUGCAGGUGUGUUUCCUUACUACUGUCCUCCCUAACUCUGGCGACCUCUUUGACCCAGCCAUCAUCAAAAAGCAUGUUUAAGGCCAUGAUUAGGGUAAUUAAUGUUAAGAAUAAAUAUUAUUUCAUUAAGAAACAUUAUUUAACUCAUUUUCCUUAUGUGUCACUUAAUGUUAUUAAGUGACCAAUUAGUUUUUAAUUAUUUCAAAUAAAAUCUAAUUGUAUUUUAAUGUCAUAUAGGUAGAUUUUUCAAAUAUGUAUGUUCACAUUUAUAUUUAGAAACAUACAAUGGGUCAUCUAACUAGAUAUUAAAAACUUUGUAUACACUUUUCAAGAUCUUUACCUUUGUGUGGAAAGCCAAGCUGCCGAAAAAAAUAUAUAUUCUAUAGAGUUCUAUAACUGGUUAAAGCUCUACAGGACCAUCAAUAACCAAACAUGUGCUGCAGUUGCCUGGAGGCAUCGUAAAGUGGUUAUUUAAAUUAAAGUUGUUUCUUAGUACUUGGGGAAAAAAACUAACACAAAUCUAAAUCAGAUGAGUCAUUGUGCAUUUUAAUGAAAAGUUUUUCUAAUAUGUAAAUAAAUCUAGCAAAAUAUCCUCAAUAGUAUAUGAUCAACCAUGUAUAGGGAUCCUCAAAGGAUCUGUUGUUCUAUACUGUGCCCACUGGCCAAAGAACAGGUACCUAACGUUCUCUAAGAGACUUUACAGAUUAUACGAUGAGAUAUGGUUUGAACUCCUGUUUUGGCUGACUCCAUGCAAUCGCACAGUGCUUUAAAAUUGUCUUCUAUCCUGCAUUUUUCUCAGUCGCAGAUAAUUCUGGCUCACCUGGAUUCAAAUACUUGUAGACUUGACGCAAUCCAACUACCUAAGAUCCAAGUGCCCAAGAAACAACUUUCCAGGCUCAAAAAGGUGUCACUCGCUGGCUGUCAUAAUACUUGAAAUUUCUAUCACUAUAUCACUAUACUCAUUCUAUUAAUAUAAGCUGAUGGCUCCUCUAAAGUGUGAGUAUAUUACCUACAAAGGGGAACAAAUUAGCAUAUUAAAUUUAUUAUCAACAUGAGAUUAUACUGUAGUAUGGGCAGCACCCACUCAUUUACCCCUAAUUUUAUGUGUCCCUGCCGAAGAAGCAACUCUGCUUCCAGUCUUGCUACCUUUGACUGCUCAUUGGAGCAAUGGUUUCCACUGUCACUCCUCAUACCUGUUUCCACCUAGGAUGAACUGGCCAUACAAAGCGUAUUAAAUAGGGAGAGAUGAUGAAAACUGACCAUUGACAGGAGAAAGGAGAGAGAAUAUAGGGAAGUUUUACGACACAGAUACCUGCUUAGUGAGGGCAAGUCCAAGUUGGAUACUUUAGAGUGAGACUCCCAACAGCCAUGUGGACAGCAUGAAUAUGCCAAGAGUUUGAAAAAGGAGCCCCAAAUGGACUGGGGCCAGGAGAGUGAGAUGACAAAGACAGACUGAAUCUUUUACAGUUUUGAGCUUUCUUUGAGUACAUACUAGAGAUAUAACAGAACCAGGUGGAGGAAGGAGGCAGGGAAUCUAAAAUAUUUAUGAGCUUGAUAAGAUUGGAAGAGUUUAAAGCAGGAGGUGGAGACAAAUGAGGGUAGACUGGAGGGAGGGAUACAAGCAAGGGAGGGCAUCUUAAGAGUGCUUCAGAAGAGGCAGUGAUGUCAGUGGUGCAGGUGUGGAUCCAACUUAGACACCCUGUUCUUGUGGGUAAAUGCAUAUUUUCUUUUUACACGGCUGGGUUAAAUUACUUCCCCUAGGUCAUUCAAUUAAUCACUUGGAGAGCAAGGAAUAGAAUCCAGCUCUCAAGGCUCUCAUUUCACAUCUGGAGCAGGCAAACUAGGGUUCUCCUUUCUGAAACACCCUCUUUUUUUUUUUUAAGUCUUUUGCAAAUCAGUGAAGUUUUGAGCUCCUUUAUAAAGAAUUUAUGAAAUCCUGUUACUCUUUGCGUGAUUUAAAAUUAAGGUGGUGUUAGUACAAAAAAACACUAUAAAUUGCUUUUUGGUUUAUCUUCCAUUCAAAAAUUUAAAAUAUCUGUCAAAAUUUCUUUGAUUUUUUCCCUGCAGAUUUCAAGUUAUUGUUCUGGGGAGCUGGAAGAAAAAUGAGUUACAGAUCUGAAAAAGCAGUGUGUGCAGAGCUUAACUGCUGCAUGACUGAUUGUGUGAUAUAUUGCUCUUUUCACUAAUAACCACAAAGCAGGUAGAGGCAUGGCAGACUAAUUUGGUUUAUAUGUCCAGCUGUAAGGCUAGACACUGCAUCAUUCUUUUCAGAAACCAGUGACUUUAGGCAUGUGGAACUCGUAGUCAUGACAACAAUAAACCAGCUUUGAGUCUGUGUUUCAGCUCAGAAACUGCCUUGUCUCCAUUACUUCCUGCUCAUGACCUGACUUUUCUUACUCUCUGGGGCUGGGGGCUGGGGAUUUAUGAAAGAUCUAUUGAACAGAGCUCCAGUAUAUGUUUAAUGCUUAAAAUGUCUCGGUUGAAAGUUUUGCUUGCACAGAUGGCUAAAGGCUGGAAGGAGGAUAGAUCAAUCAUUAUUAUAGCUAAUGACACGGUUAUAAGGGCAUACACAAAGGUGAGCUGAUUUGGAAAAUGGGAAAAGGCAAUGUGAAAAGUGGGACUUGGAAGCAUUGCUUUGAAUAACAUAAAAGUGGUUAUCACAAAUAAAAUUUUAUUUUAAAUACAUAAGGGAAUUUAUGAUUCUGAGAGGACUUAUCCAAAAGGUAAAAUGAAUAAUCAAACAAAAAUUAAUACAAAAAAUUAAGUGAGUGUAUGUGUGUGUAUAUUUAUGCAGUUUUUAAACCUGAAGAAACAAUUAGCAGAAGCUCAUGGCAAAAUCUACAAGUGUUCAUUUUAGUGUCCCACUAGUUUAAUGGUAUGAUAGUGACUGCCUUCAGAGACAGCGUAGCUCAGUGACCUCUGGGUUCAAUGGUCUCCAUUUAAAUAUCAGCUGUAAUAUUGGGAAGUUGUCUAUACAAAGUCUCUCAACAUUCUGCUCUAAAGAGAAAUGAUAUGAUUUGCACUUCAAAGGGUUGAUUGUUGGUGAAAUGAGAUAAUGGAGGAGAAAGCUUAGCUCAGUGCCCUGGAUAGAGUGAACCUUCAAUAACAGGUAGCUGUCAAUGUUGGUUCUAUUGGUGUUGUUGCUAGUAGGGUUUGUCAUUAAUUGAAAUCUGUCCUUCCUGUGAUUAUCAUGGUUGAACUCUAGUAUUAAAGAGGCCUGAUCAUAGCGAUGGGAAGAUUUAUUUUUCUUUCUGGAGAGACGUUCUCUGGCUUUACUAUUUUCUUUGUAUAAUCUAGAUUGUAAGGAGGGUAGAUAGUGGCUAGAGAAGGCAUGAAUGCCAGACUGAACUGCCAACAUAAAAGAUGGUGUGUCUGGAGACUUUUGUGCCUUUUAACUGCCCAGUUGUGUUUCUCCCAUCACCCAACAAGAAGCGAGAAAUUCUACCAUCAAUUUUGUUUCAUUUUCCUUAGCACGUUGGCCUAGUUCUAUAUGACUGCCUUUUUUAAAGCUCUUAUUUUCCAGCAAGUUACCCCUACAAGCCAAUAGACAGAGACAUAAGACAUGAAUCAAACCCUAGAUAGAAGCCAAAUGCUUCCUUUCUUUUCUAUGUACUGAGAAAUUGAAUGAUUUACUUUCCCUGAGAUCAGCUUCAUGAUUUCAUGAUCAUGUGGUUAAACUUAGUAACCAACAUGCUCCCUGGAGGCUAGCUUUCCCCCAUCACCUUGUAGAGUUUGGCUCACCAUGUAAAAAUCUGAUCGAGUAAAUUCAAUUAUUAAGUUAUAAUUGAGAAAUCAUGAACCAUUAACCGAUUAUGUACUUUUUCUUAUUAUAAGAGUUUAACACUGUCAUAAACAAUUAGAUUUCUCUUUACAUUGUUCCCAGAGCAGCAGUUAUAAUUUAUAGCAAUAUGAUUGUUUUCCAAAAUAUAUAAUUAGAUCACAUUUUUCUAUUAGAAGUUUUAUGAGAAAAGAAAAUUUUCAUAUGCCCGUCAUUGCAUGAAAGAGUUAAUAUACCUCCAGAAAAGAAGAUAUAUUAUUUUUCAAUAGUAAUAUUAAUUUUAGAAAUAUUUAAAUUGAGUAAGAUAAUGGGGUGAUUAAUAUGAGGGAAAUGUAAAUACUAUCAUGUUAGAUAUUUGAAAAUAUAAAAUAAAUAUAUAUUAUAUAAUUAAUGUAUGGCAGAAAAGAUGUAAUUGAGUGACUAACUUUUCUGGAUAUCCUAGGUGUUACCGAAAAGUGUAAUUACAUGCUUAUGAAUGACCAUUAAAGUAGCAUUAUUACAAAAAUAUUUUUCAUACAGAAUGAUUUUGUAUUGGUAGCUUUUUUAACAUCUUUUAAUAAAAUUGAGUGAGAUAAAAAUACACCCAAAGUUUGGAAGAUUUUCUGUUUUGUCUUAAGGUCUUGUAAUUUCAUUGAUACUAGUCCUAAUGUCUCUAAGCUUUAGAGAUGUUUUAAAGCCCAGGUCAUUUUUCCUAAGUUAGACUGUUUAGUCUAUGCAAAAGAUAAAUCUUCUGAAGAUUCAAAAUCUUUAAACAUGCCCAGAGGAAACAAUUGUCUCUCUAGGAGUUCCUUCUUGGAAUAUUUCUGUCUCUUCAAUAUUGGUUUAUUUUUGUUAUUGCUCACAAAUGUUGCUGAUAAAGGUGUUUCGAGUAAGGAAAUUGAAACAAUGGAAACAUAAAUCUAUUUCUUAAAAUGUAACAGAAGGCUGAUUCAUCAAAUAUGGCUUAAUGUUUGUGAUGUACUUAGCAGCAGAGAGCUCCAGAGUUUUUCCUGGUAGAAAUAUAGAAAUAUUUAUAACAAAAGGCCAGAUUCUUCCCCUUGGAAUUCUCUGUGGAUCUCUCUCAACCACCAGGGAAAAAGCAGUAUCCAGGAAUACACAGUCAAAGUAAACUUCUACUCCACAACUUGGUUAUAUGAUUUUAUUUUAUUUAUUUUUAAAAUACCUAAAUUUUUUACUAAUAAGUACAAUAAAUCAAUUAAUUUGUAGAGAAAAUUCGAGUUCUUCAAUUUAGCAGCCAAUUUUCCUAACAUGGGCUGGAACUAAAAAAACUAUAUCAUCUAGUUUGCAACAAACUUGCUGCAGUUAAAGAUGCUAAUUGCAAUGAUUCAUCAUAAUUCAUUGUCAAGAUUUGACAUAAAAUAGCUGGGAUGAUUUAUUUUUAGUUUACAUAGUUAUAUAUUGUGAUUUCAGUAAAUGUUCACUCACAUUUUACAAAGGCUUAUUAUUUCUCUACUAUUAUUAUUAUGCUCUGAAAAUUUCAAAUAAUUUCCUGUUUAUUUUUCAUUGUUUACCUGUCUAGUAUUGUCACUGGUAAAUGUGAAAUAGGGUGGGUUUUUGUUUUCUUUUCUUCUCACUGACCUUAUCUUUUACAUAUUCUGAUUAUUCUUGAACCAGUAGCUUAAGUAUAGAUGCAAAAGUGAUGAGAGUUUGACUUAGCUUUGGCUUUUAUUAUCAGAUACCCACAAGGAAAUAAAGCUUUGAUCUACUUCCUUGGAAAGUUAAUCCCAGUGAUUAUGUGGAGAUGUGUGCAGUGUUAGCUACAGGGAUAUACAUCUUUAAUCUCUUGGCGUUGAAUACUUAAUCCAGUUCAGAUUCUUGGCAAGGAGAUUUAAAGAAAGAACAAAAUAAUUACACUCUUCAUGGGCUUUGUUUUCUGGAAUGAAUAUUUGGUAGCUCUGCCUGGUGUUUUACUGUUUAACUGGAGUGCUUAGGAAAAUAGAUUUGUGUUUACUUGGAGUGAUGUAAAAGCUGAUUUUUGUGGUCCUCGGUAGGUAAAUUUAAAGUAUGUCUAUUAACUACGGGGCAUUUUGGGGAGGGCUUUUACUCUUCAGCUUGUUUAUUUUGGCAGAGUGAAGGCUGAAUAGAGAAUGCACUAUUUCCUGUGGAAUAAUUUCACAGUUAUUCUAAAACUGGAACUACUCAUUAAAAAGUGUUCAUCUUUUCUUCAUGUAAAUAAAAACUUCAUAUGCUAUUGUAGGCCAUAAAAAUGCCCACUAAAUUUAAAUGUAA
rnacentral:lncRNA from 1 species